UCUCCUUCAGGAUCAGUCCCUACCUUUUGUCUCCCUUCUCUUAAAACUCCCCCUCACCACCUGCUUCUUUCCCCUCUCUACAGAUAGGUACUCUGGCUAAGGAAAAUAAAGAAGAAUUUGUCUACUGUGGGUGUCGAGCCUCACGUCAAACCCUAGCAUCGUGCCCUUUGCUGGAAUCUCCUCUUCUACAUUUUGUCAAUGCCUGAUGGAGCCUUCCAUGGCCUAGAACUCUCCAAUCAGGCUAGGCUACUAGAUGGCCAAUGGCGAUGACCACUGGGAUGACCCAAAAGGCAACAUAGUGCUGAGAAGAAGGGAC